rnacentral:rRNA from 1 species
AGCGGGAAGAGCUCAAAUUUGAAAUCUGGUGGCCUCAGGUCAUCCGAGUUGUAAUCUAUAGAAGUGUUUUCCGUGCUGGCCCAUGUACAAGUCCCUUGGAACAGGGCGUCAUAGAGGGUGAGAAUCCCGUCCUUGACAUGGACUACCAGUGCUCUGUGAUACACUUUCAACGAGUCGAGUUGUUUGGGAAUGCAGCUCAAAAUGGGUGGUAAAUUCCAUCUAAAGCUAAAUAUUGGCGAGAGACCGAUAGCGAACAAGUACCGUGAGGGAAAGAUGAAAAGCACUUUGGAAAGAGAGUUAAACAGUAUGUGAAAUUGUUGAAAGGGAAACGAUUGAAGUCAGUCGUGCUCAAUGGACUCAGCCGUUCUGCGGUGUAUUUCCAUUGGGUGGGGUCAACAUCAGUUUUGAUCGCUGGAUAAAGGCAGGAGGAAUGUAGCACCCCCGGGUGAACUUAUAGCCUCUUGUCACAUACAGUGGUUGGGACUGAGGAACGCAGCAUGCCUUUAUGGCCGGGAUUCGUCCACGUACAUGCUU